CUCGGCCUAAAGAUAGGAUUCGUCAACUCUCCCAGUGGUCUCCCCAAAGCCGGCAUCUCCCUUGAUGACAAGGACAGACUACAGAGGAGUUUGCAACCAUCAACCUUGUAGUCCAGUUCUCAGGUGCUGGUCAUCAGGUGUGGCCACAGGAGACAAGACCCAAGUAGGGGCACAGGAGGAAAAAUUACAUUCUACUCACAGGCCCUAGAGUGACAGAGAAGUUGUCACAUGGAAAGGAGUGCAAAGGAAG
rnacentral:lncRNA from 1 species